rfam:Oryza rufipogon genomic scaffold, chr01
AAAGAUUCAAUUUCUAGGUUUCCGUAUAUAACGUUUGACCAUCCGUCUUAUUUGAAAAAAAUAUGAAAAUUUUUUUAAAAAAUAAAUCACAUAUAAAAUAUUAUUCAUAUUUUAUCAUCUAACAACAAUAAAAAUACUAAUCAUAAAAAAAUUCAUAUAAGACGGAAAGUUAAACGUUCGACACAGAAACUCAGGAAUUGAGUUUUU